UGGACAGCUAGGAGGCUGCUGUAGUCAUCCAGGACAAGAGAUUACAGUAGCUUUAAACCAAAAGAGAAAGGGGACAUAAGUAGACUUGUAGCCUAAAUAAAUACGUGCUAACUGCAGGUAGGGAGUGGAAGGAGGGUGGGAGGCUGACAGAAGGGGAAGAAUCUGCCUUUUGCAACUUCGUGGUGCCAUCCGAAGAGACUUGGAACUGAAGAUACACAGGGCUGCCAGGGCAGAUACAGGGGCAGCCUCCCUCCUCCUUUGCUCCUCGGUCUCUGCCUCCGUGAAUCCCUCUCCUCUUCCUCUCUCUCCUAACCUUACUUUCCUGUGGUCCUGAGGAACCGCGUCCAUUAGCAAGAAGUGGAUUCCUAGAGCCAGAGUAUUAGGCUCCUACCACUGUUCCUUUCACGGGUCAGAGGAAACCAGCAGGGCAAUGGCUACCAAGGUUGCCAAGACAACGCACUGCCAUUUCAACGGUCUCCUAUAAAAUAAGGACGAUGAUCUCUGAGGCAUUUCCAAGUACCUCACUGGGUAAAUAUCCCUAUGAGACAGGAACACCCAACUCUGCUUGGCCACUUUAGAGAAGAAACAAGGCCUGGAAAGAUACUUUCAAAACUGAAGUCAAGACCACACGGCAGUAAGAAGUAACUGGUUUCAGGCGGGACUCAUCACCACUUUGGUUCACUGGUUUUUAUUACAUGUGACGUUUCAUUGUUGGCUCUGCACCUUUAGAGGGUCAAGGAUCCCUCUGAGACCUGAUUAAAGAAUGGGCUCACUCCCCACAAAAACGACAGACAAAUCUGCAGGCAAAUUCAAAGGAUUCGAGAAUCCCCCGCAGCUCAACCACUGACCCCAGUUUAACAAUCUGGGAUCAGCUAGAAUGUAUGUACGUCAUCUAAGGACAGGAAAAACUUGGGUGUCAUGAAUUUGAGGAUUUGGAGUUAAAUAACAACAUCAGGGAAAUACAAGGAAAGCCGGCGUUCUUUCCUUACCCUUCUCUCCCUUGAGGGCUGCAGACGUCUCAAAACUGCAAAGGUCUCUGCAAACGACACACCACACCCUCUGCAGGACUUCAAGACAGUGACAAUCUCAUCUCCGAAUUUAAAUGCCCUUAAUAUUUAAUUCUUUCCUCUACAUGGUUACAGCUUGCUUUUUUCACAUUAUCGGGAUGAUGGCUUUCGGAGGCAGCCUAUUGGAGAGCCAGAAAACCAUAAAUUCCAAUUCAAUUUCCUUGUGAAAAUCAAAGAGCUCACUCGCUUUAAGAGUUGAAAGCGUCUGAGGGGUCACUGCCUUCCUCCAGGGUGCUGGUACAGGCAGUGUUCCAGAAGGGUAAUGUAAACACUCAGUAUGAGGCAACAGGGCAUACCAAUUUGUUUUCCAAUCUAUUUUAUUUCAGUUCAGAGCUUCUUUGCAGACAGAUAGUCCACAAAAACAACCACACUUUGGUUGUACUCAGUCUUCUUCAAUCUCCAAAAGCAGUUGAGUAUGCCAAAGCGUGGCUCGUUUCCCUGCGCUGCCCGUCUGCAAUGAGGCUUUGAACUGAAAUAAAAUAGAUUGAAAAACAAAUUGGUAUGCCCUCGCUCUCCCUGCAGUUUUAUAUUAUCCUUCAAAACUAGUGUUACCACCUUCUCUUUACUGGAACCCAACAGACCCAAAUAACAGAGUAAAACUGCAACACUUUAAAUGUGCAGGUCCCACCCAAACCUAAAAUAGCAACUUAAUGCUGGGCUUAUUGUUUAACAUUGCAUUAACAUGCCCCUCUCCGUCCUGUUCCUUGCUCUGUUCCUUGCUCCAUUUGCCCGGCUGGAUUACACCUUCUAAGGACACGUGCAAUCGGGUUACUAGACGCAGUUUAAAGCAAAACCUGACACUGCCGAUCCUCUUACACGGUCUGCUUGAUUUCUCAUUGCCUCUGCAAUUUUUCACGUUCAUGACCCCAAAUACCUUCCUAUUUUUACCAAUUCAAAAAGUCUGUUACUUGCUUUAAAGCGUCCAAUGCCCUGCUUCAAGUAUGCAACAUUAUUUUGAAAACUUUCAGAGGAAACCAAAAAUCAUUUGCAAACAAACUUUGAAAUGACCACCAACUAGAAGAAACCUGUCAUUUUCUUACACUGCCUUAAGAAAACGCACAUGCCUUCAAUGGAGGAACACACUAAAAUAAUGAAAAGUACUCUGAAUAGAUAGUUGUAUAAUUUGGUUGAAAAAAACUUAAAACUCGUUUGGAGGAGUUCCUCUCUCAACAAGCACAAUGAGAAAAAAUAAGAGCUGUUCCUGUCGCCCCCAAAGAUAGAAGCAUACACACACACACCCUCAGCUUUGUUGGUAACAUAAUCCUAGACUUUUGUUAUUAUUUAGCACUUUAAAUACAUUUCCAUUUGGGGCCCAAUUUGGUUUUCUCUGAUUGGAACUCAGCAACAUGUGUAACAACAACAAAAAGGAAACAGCAAACCUGUUAUUACACUUUUUCUUAUUUAAUCCACACAACAACCCUUUUCAGGAGGUACCACUAUCGGCAUUUCACAUGCUAGACCAUCUGUAACCGGCCCACGGCACGCAGCUCUCCCAGCAGUAAAGCUGGCUUGAGGGCGGCGACUCAGAGCACAGGACUGAAUCACGGCACCACUACUCACUUCUUUCAAUCCUUCCAACACCCCACAUUCUUGCCACCUCACAAUCUCUGAUCCUACUAAAAAGUUCUUCCUUCCCAGUUCUCUCCCUUCUCCCUUCUUGCCUGGACUGGAUUCUCGUCACUCAAACAGGUUUGGUUUAAACUACCUUUCUCAAGGGCCUUGCUGGGCCAGGCCGGUAAGAGGGGUCCUCUGGGUCAGCACUGUUUUAUCACCUUUAUCACAGUUGCCACUAUUUGCCUUAGACACGAGGCGUUAGGUCCAUCUUGCUCACGGUAAUCAUAAGGCCCAGCACAGUGGGGUCUGGUACAUAGCAGGCACUCAAAUAUUUGAUCAACAAAUGGCCUGAAUUGUUUAUUUAAUACCUACCAGACUACAGGCUGUGGGCACUGGCUAGCAGCUGAUACAAAAAUAGGUAAGGUGUGGUCCUGCCCUGGAGAGCCUCCCAAGAAAAGGUAAUUAACAGACGGAAUAAUACAGACUGGUGUGAUCAGUUGAGGUUCAGAACCCAGCUCCCUCGUACAUUAACUAUGUAACCUUGGACAUUGCUCUGAAUCUCAAUUUUCUCAUCUUUACAACAGGAAUAUUAAUACUACCUUCGUCACAGUGUUGGUGAGAGAGCCGAAUGAUAUUCCAUGUAAACAGAGCACACAGUGCUUUGCAGAAAUCAUUUAAUAAAUAUGAACUAGUGACUUUA